rnacentral:rRNA from 1 species
UACGUAGGCAGCGAGCGUUGUUCGGAUUUACUGGGCGUAAAGCGUGCGUAGGCGGUGUCUUAAGUUUGUUGUGAAAUCUCCCGGCUUAACCGGGAGGGUGCGGCGAAUACUGAGAUGCUGGAGUGCCGGAGAGGUAAGCGGAAUUCCUGGUGUAGCGGUGAAAUGCGUAGAUAUCAGGAGGAACACCUGCGGUGUAGACGGCUUACUGGACGGUAACUGACGCUGAGGCACGAAAGCGUGGGUAGCAAACAGG